AUUGAACGCUGGCGGCAUUCCUUACACAUGCAAGUCGAACGGCAGCACGGGAGCUUGCUCCUGGUGGCGAGUGGCGAACGGGUGAGUAAUACAUCGGAACGUACCCUGAAGUGGGGGGAUAACGUAGCGAAAGUUACGCUAAUACCGCAUAUUCUGUGAGCAGGAAAGAGGGGGAUCGCAAGACCUCUUGCUUUAGGAGCGGCCGAUGUCGGAUUAGCUAGUUGGUGAGGUAAAGGCUCACCAAGGCGACGAUCCGUAGCGGGUCUGAGAGGAUGAUCCGCCACACUGGGACUGAGACACGGCCCAGACUCCUACGGGAGGCAGCAGUGGGGAAUUUUGGGACAAUGGGCGCAAGCCUGAUCCAGCCAUGCCGCGUGAGUGAAGAAGGCCUCGG
rnacentral:rRNA from 1 species